rnacentral:rRNA from 1 species
AUAUAAAAUGACUCUCGGCAACGGAUAUCUCGGCUCUUGCAUCGAUGAAGAACGUAGCGAAAUGCGAUACUUGGUGUGAAUUGCAAAAUCCCGUGAACCAUCGAGUCUUUGAACGCAAGUUGCGCCCGAAGCCAUUAGGCCGAGGGCACGCCUGCCUGGGUGUCACAC